CCUACGGGAGGCAGCAGUAAGGAAUAUUGGUCAAUGGACGAAAGUCUGAACCAGCCAUGCCGCGUGAAGGAUUGAGGCCCUCUGGGUUGUAAACUUCUUUUAUCUGGGACGAAAAAAGGGUAUUCUUACUCACUUGACGGUACCAGAGGAAUAAGCACCGGCUAACUCCGUGCCAGCAGCCGCGGUAAUACGGAGGGUGCAAGCGUUAUCCGGAUUUACUGGGUUUAAAGGGUGCGUAGGUGGGCUUGUAAGUCAGUGGUGAAAUCUCCGGGCUUAACCCGGAAACUGCCAUUGAUACUAUAGGUCUUGAAUUAUCUGGAGGUAAGCGGAAUAUGUCAUGUAGCGGUGAAAUGCUUAGAUAUGACAUAGAACAUCAAUUGCGAAGGCAGCUUACUACGGAUACAUUGACACUGAGGCACGAAAGCGUGGGGAUCAAACAGGAUUAGAUACCCUGGUAGUCCACGCCCUAAACGAUGGAUACUCGACAUCAGCGAUACACUGUUGGUGUCUGAGCGAAAGCAUUAAGUAUCCACCUGGGAAGUACGAUCGCAAGAUUGAAACCUNAAAUGAAUUGACGNNGAGAGAGCGACGACGACGACGAGGGAGGAGG
rnacentral:rRNA from 1 species